rnacentral:ncRNA from 1 species
GGGAAAUAGGGAGGCACCGAAACCAGACCUGCAAUACGGUCACCUCGGUCUGGUGGAGCCAGUGGUGAGACCGAACCUAUCCC